rnacentral:rRNA from 1 species
CCCUUAGAUGUUCUGGGCCGCACGCGCGCUACACUGAUGCAUUCAACGAGUUUUGUUUGUUCCUUGGCCGAGAGGCCUGGGCAAUCUUUUGAACUUGCAUCGUGAUAGGGAUAGAUUAUUGCAAUUAUUAAUCUUGAACGAGGAAUUCCUAGUAAACGCAGAUCAUCAAUCUGCAUUGAUUACGUCCCUGCCCUUUGUACACACCGCCCGUCGCACCUACCGAUUGAAUGGUCCGGUGAAGCCUCGGGAUUGUGGUUCUUGCCGCUUUAUUGUGGCGUGACCGCGAGAACUUGUCUAAACCUUAUCAUCUAGAGGAAGGUGAAGUCGUAACA